GACGAACGCUGGCGGCGUGCUUAACACAUGCAAGUCGAACGGAAAGGCCCUGCUUUUGUGGGGUGCUCGAGUGGCGAACGGGUGAGUAACACGUGAGUAACCUGCCCUUGACUUUGGGAUAACUUCAGGAAACUGGGGCUAAUAACGGAUAGGAGCUCCUGCUGCAUGGUGGGGGUUGGAAAGUUUCGGCGGUUGGGGAUGGACUCGCGGCUUAUCAGCUUGUUGGUGGGGUAGUGGCUUACCAAGGCUUUGACGGGUAGCCGGCCUGAGAGGGUGACCGGCCACAUUGGGACUGAGAUACGGCCCAGACUCCUACGGGAGGCAGCAGGGGGGAAUAUUGCACAAUGGGCGGAAGCCUGAUGCAGCAACGCCGCGUGCGGGAUGACGGCCUUCGGGUUGUAAACCGCUUUCGCCUGUGACGAAGCGUGAGUGACGGUAAUGGGUAAAGAAGCACCGGCUAACUACGUG
rnacentral:rRNA from 1 species